CGCGAAAACUUCACACUGCAGGAAACUGUGAUGAGGGAACUCCAAGUGACUGCCCAAUGGGUGGCCUUUUCUUGAAAUCUUAAUAGUUCUUGGAAUAAGGGCUGGGAAAGACCGGUGCCAGCCGCCGCGGUAAUACCGGCAGCUCAAGUGGUCGUCGCUUUUAUUGGGCCUAAAACGUCCGUAGCCUGUUUGGUAAAUCUGUGGGUAAAUCAACGAGCUUAACUCGUUGAAUUCUGCAGAGACUGCCAGACUAGGGACCGGAGAGGUGUGGGGUACUCGAGGGGUAGGGGUAAAAUCCUGUCAUCCUUUGAGGACCACCAGUUGCGAAGGCGCCACACUGGAACGGAUCCGACGGUCAGGGACGAAGCCUAGGGGCACGAACCGGAUUAGAUACCCGGGUAGUCCUAGGUGUAAACGCUGUGAACUUGGUGUCGGGGAUCCGCAAGGGGUCCUCGGUGCCGGAGUG
rnacentral:rRNA from 1 species